AAAAAGUGUUAAUUUGUUUUGAGUUUCCAACUGUCGAGUUUAUCGAAACAUUAGUAUUUAGUUAUUUUAAGUUUUAACUCUUUUUUUAAAUAUAAAUAAUUAUUUUUGGGAUAAUGGCCACCAAAAAAAAAAAUACAAGAGGGUGUGUAUUUUAUCUGAAGUCCCCAUAUAAAACCCCAAGUAUCUCUACACUCGUAAGUCAAAUCUUUUCUAUAAUAUUGCAUCAUUUUAUACAGGAGGAGAUAUCACAGAAGUAUUUCGAAAAAGAAAAGGAUUUUUCUCAGUUAAUGUACAAGUUAUAUGCAAUGCAAAUUUGUCUAUAACCAAUGUUGCUGGCCUAGUUCAACUCACAAAGUUACACUUUUUAUAAAUUCAAGAGUACAUGCAGAAUUUGAAUCGAGGGAGUAUUCUAUUAUACUAUUUAUCUCUUAGUAGGAGAGAGUGGCUAUCAUGCUUAAAAUAUCUAUUGACACUAUUGCUAAUUCCACUUACAUAAAUUGAACAAGGAACGGAAUUGAAAGAUAUUUUGGAGUACUAUAAAGAAGAUAUCCUAUGUUGGCGUACGGAAUCCGAUUAAAAAAUAUGGACACCAUCAUGGCUGUAUUGAGGUCCACAUGUACUCUAAAUAAAAUUGCAAUCAUGUUUAAAGAAUCGACAACAAAUUUGGAUGCAGAAGAAAACUUAGAUUUUAAAUUGUUGAUUCAUAAUCCUAACAACAUAAAUGGGUUUAACGAACAGCAAUAUGAAGAUGAUGUAAACGAGGUUACUCAAAGAGCUCAUCUGAUCAACAAUUAUUUUGGACGAUUAUAAAUUAGAAUUUAUUGGUUAAGUCUUAUCUGUGACAUUAAACAAAUAAAUCCAAGAAUUGUUUCCCAAAAAUUAAUCCAAACGGUCUUUAUGGCUUAUAGCUAGUAUUUUUACUAAAGAAGAUUUCAAGCCUUUUAGGAAACUUUGUGCUCUCCAUUUUGACAAAGAUUAUUUCAAAGCUGAAACUUAACUGAACAUUUUAAAACCAAAUUUAGUUCACACAAAGUUUGAAAAAUGAUCAAAAGAAUCUUUUGAAUCAACGUCCUUGAGUAAAAUGCCCGAGUUACUAACAUACCAAAUUUGCGAGCAGCCUGCUUCAACAUAAAACAGUGAAAUGGACACUUUUAAAAUGAAUGGUUGUUAAAAAAACCUAUAAGAAUGGAUUAACCUAUUAUCAAACUUAAAGAUACUCCUAACCGAAAGCUGCGGAAAUAUUUUGUAGGCAAUAGAACUAUUCCAGAUUUUGCCUCUCUG